CGUCAGACUCCUACGGGAGGCAGCAGUGGGGAAUAUUGCACAAUGGGCGAAAGCCUGAUGCAGCUAUACCGCGUGUAUGAAGAAGGCCUUAGGGUUGUAAAGUACUUUCGUUGGGGAGGAAAAAUAAAUAGAUAAUACCUGUUUAUCGUGACGUUACCCAAAAAAGAAGCACCGGCUAACUCCGUGCCAGCAGCCGCGGUAAUACGGAGGGUGCAAGCGUUAAUCAGAAUUACUGGGCGUAAAGAGCUCGUAGGCGGUUUUUUAAGUCAGAUGUGAAAUCCCUGGGCUUAACCUAGGAACUGCAUUUGAAACUAAAAGACUAGAGUAUCGUAGAGGGAGGUAGAAUUCUAGGUGUAGCGGUGAAAUGCGUAGAUAUCUGGAGGAAUACCUGUGGCGAAAGCGGCCUCCUAAAUGAAUACUGACGCUGAGGUGCGAAAGCAUGGGGAGCAAACAGGAUUAGAUACCCUGGUAGUCCAUGCCGUAAACGAUGUCGACUUGGAGGUUGUUUCCUUGAGAAGUGACUUCCGAAGCUAACGCGUUAAGUCGACCGCCUGGGGAGUACGGUCGCAAGGCUAAAACUCAAAUGAAUUGACGGGGGCCCGCACAAGCGGUGGAGCAUGUGGUUUAAUUCGAUGCAACGCGAAAAACCUUACCUGGUCUUGACAUCCACAGAAUUUUUCAGAGAUGAAAAAGUGCCUUAGGGAACUGUGAGACAGGUGCUGCAUGGCUGUCGUCAGCUCGUGUUGUGAAAUGUUGGGUUAAGUCCCGCAACGAGCGCAACCCUUAUCCUCUGUUGCCAUUGGUUCGGCCAGGAACUCAGAGGAGACUGCCGGUUAUAAACCGGAGGAAGGCGGGGACGACGUCAAGUCAUCAUGGCCCUUACGACCAGGGCUACACACGUGCUACAAUGGUGUAUACAAAGAGAAGCAACUCUGUAAAGACAAGCAAACCUCAUAAAGUACAUCGUAGUCCGGACUGGAGUCUGCAACUCGACUCCCGA
rnacentral:rRNA from 2 species